GACGAACGCUGGCGGCGUGCUUAACACAUGCAAGUCGAACGGAAAGGCCCCUUUGGGGGUACUCGAGUGGCGAACGGGUGAGUAACACGUGCGUAACCUGCCCUUGACUUCGGGAUAACUUCAGGAAACUGGGGCUAAUACCGGAUAGGAAUCCUUGCUGCAUGGUGGGGGUUGGAAAGCUUCGGCGGGUUUGGAUGGACUCGCGGCUUAUCAGCUUGUUGGUGGGGUAGUGGCUUACCAAGGCUUUGACGGGUAGCCGGCCAGAGAGGGCGACCGGCGACAUUGGGACUGAGAGACGGCACAGACUCCUACGGGAGGCAGCAGGGGGGAAGAUUGCACAAUGGGCGGAAGCCGGAUGCAGCAACGCCGCGUGCGGGAUGACGGUCUUCGGGUUGUAAACCGCUUUCAGCAGGGGCGAAGCUUGUGGUGACGGUACCUGCAGAAGAAGCACCGGCUAACUACGUG
rnacentral:rRNA from 1 species